rnacentral:rRNA from 1 species
UUAACCGGAUUAGAUACCCUGGUAGUCCACGCCGUAAACGAUGUCAACUAGGCGUUGGGAUGGUUAAUCAUCUCAUUGGCGCAGCUAGCGCAUUAAGUUGACCGGCUGGGGAGUACGGGCGCAAGAUUAAAACUCAAAGGAAUUGGCGGGGGCCCGCACCAGCGGGGGAGUAUGGGGUUUAAUUCCACGGAACGCGCAAAACCUUACCUGGUCUUGACAUCCCGAGAAUCCUGUGGAAACACGGGAGUGGUCUUCGGAAAAUUCGGGGACAGGGGCUGCAUGGUUGUCGCCAGUUCGGGUCGGGAAAUGUGGGGUUAAGUCCCGCAACGAGCGCAACCCUUGUCUUUAGUUGCCAGCAUUGAGUUGGGAACUCUAAAGAGACUGCCGGUGUCAAACCGGAGGAAGGUGGGGAUGACG